rnacentral:rRNA from 1 species
UGGGGAAUAUUGCACAAUGGGCGCAAGCCUGAUGCAGCCAUGCCGCGUGUAUGAAGAAGGCCUUCGGGUUGUAAAGCACUUUCAGCGGGGAGGAAGGCGAUAAGGUUAAUAACCUUGUCGAUUGACGUUACCCGCAGAAGAAGCACCGGCUAACUCCGUGCCAGCAGCCGCGGUAAUACGGAGGGUGCAAGCGUUAAUCGGAAUUACUGGGCGUAAAGCGCACGCAGGCGGUCUGUCAAGUCGGAUGUGAAAUCCCCGGGCUUAACCUGGGAACUGCAUUCGAAACUGGCAGGCUAGAGUCUUGUAGAGGGGGGUAGAAUUCCAGGUGUAGCGGUGAAAUGCGUAGAGAUCUGGAGGAAUACCGGUGGCGAAGGCGGCCCCCUGGACGAAGACUGACGCUCAGGUGCGAAAGCGUGGGGAGCAAACAGG